GACGAACGCUGGCGGCGUGCCUAAUACAUGCAAGUCGAACGCAGUGGGGACGGGUGAGUAACACGUGGGUAACCUCCCAUCAGAGGGGAUAACACUUGGAAACAGGUGCUAAACCGAUACUGAUGGAUGGACCCGCGGUGCAUUAGCUAGUUGGUGCGGUAACGGCUCACCAAGGCCACGAUGCAUAGCCGACCUGAGAGGGUGAUCGGCCACACUGGGACUGAGACACGGCCCAGACUCCUACGGGAGGCAGCAGUGGGGAAUCUUGGGCAAUGGACGAAAGUCGGACCGAGCAAGGCCGCGUGAGUGAAGAAGGUUUUCGGAUCGUAAAACACUGUCUUCGGGGAGGCGUUAUCUAAACAGAAAGCACCGGCUAACUACGUGCCAGCAGCCGCGGUAAUAC
rnacentral:rRNA from 1 species